UAUUCUAUUGUAAAUAUGUAGUCUGUUGAAAUACGCCCUGUAACUUCUCGCUAUACUCUUCAUAAACUUGACUGCAGUUGACACAUUUUGAAUGAUGUAAUUAUACAAAAGAUUGAAACGCAUUUUAAGAAGAAAAUUGAUUAUCUACCAGACAUGUUCAAUAAUAAGAAUAUAAUUAAUCUAAAUUGGAUACACUUGGAUUUUAAUAAAAAUAUUUACACAAGUUAAAUAUUAAUUAAAACCACAGCAAAUGAUCCGUAUGGAAUUUCUACUGCAUCCGCUCGUAUGGCCACACUUUUACUGAGCUAUCGUUUUGUGUUAUUUGACACUUAUAUUGUAAGAAAUGAAUAAUAACGAUGUCUGAAGAUCAUGAAAUAUACAAUAUGAAAGACGAAAAUGAUUUGGUCGAAGAAUGACCGGAAAUGAUUUAGUUCAAGUGCAUAAAGCAUUUUAUAACUGGGCGUAUGCAACAAACUCUCAGCACAGAAAAGUCGACUGUAUGAAGUAAUUUUAGACAACUUUAAGGUUUGUCUCAAGAGAAAAUGAGUCUCACGGGCAAACCUGAUAAAAAUCUCAGAUAAGUGGAUACAAUAAAAUAUUUCGAGUUUUCUGAAAACGAGUGGCUUGUAUCAAUUGAAAGUUAUAAUAAUGGAGUUGACGUCACUACAAGCACAUAGAGGCGUUUUAAAUUGCAACAAGUGACAAACCAAUUGUUCCAGUUAAUCGAACAGUCAAUGUGAUAACGAGGCUUUGCUCUCACUAGGUUUUUAUUAGGUAUAUAAGGUCGUAUUUUAGUUCUGAUGAAGGAAAUGUCCAAUGAGUAUUUUUAAUUAACUAUGAAAUCUAAUAAGUUUAAAAGUUUUAUUAAAAAAUUAAAAAGUUCAAUUGUAUUAUGAUGAUAAACACAAUCACUUCCGGUUAUCUAAAAUUACUUAAACACUGGUAAUUAAUGUAAUAAAGUUCAAACACCAAACAUUUGGAGUAAAGGUUUGCUGAACAGUGUUUUAUUAUAAAGGCUGCAUGAUUAUAAAUCACAGUGAUUGAUUAAGAAGAAACAAAUCGUACACAUAUCAAAGAAACUUAUCAAAAAAAUAGUAAGCUAAUAGCUUCUGGUGAUAUUUUAUCUAGUGAUUGAAUUGAAUAAUAUGAGUUUGUAGUGAAAUACGUGCGUGGACCACCACAAGCUGACUCAGACUGUUAGCUUGGACAAGAAACGCGCGGAAGAACGUGUGCACACGAUACUACACGACGCUGAGUUUAAUUUCUAUUAAUAAAUACACCCAGUGCAUGGCGAGAAUAGAGCUAACUCUUUACUCCUGCAGCUUAUUGAAUCAACCCUGUUGAUAUUUUAUGCUGUACUGUAUUUUUAUUCUCUGUCAAUUUUACUAAUAGAAGCACACCAAUUAAUUGUUUUAGAUGAUCAUUGGAAUUGAAAAGGAUUCAAUCUGAUUGUUAAAUCAAGAUUUGCCACGUGCAUCAACUUGGUAGAUCCAUUUGUAUGUUUUCUUGCAGAGAAGCAUACAUAUGAGACGAUACAUGUUCGUUUAAAAUAACAACCCCAGUCGACGUAGGUCAAACAUAUGCUGAAAGGAUAUACCUAAGUAGUUUAAGGAUGAUGACACGAGAAAUAAGUUUAUCAAAUUUCAAUCGUUUUUUACUGUAUGAUUGAAAAAGAAAGAUUGUGUUAUUCAAUUUAUUGUCAAAGGAAUAUUGGAGUAAUUUACGAUAAAUAACAAUGGAAUUGGUUUAGCGAGAAUCAAAUAAUAUCUCUCAAUAACUAAAGGUAAAAUAGGAUUUUUGUCAAUAAAAAAUUUACUUAACUAUUCAAAAA